AAAACUAAAAAUGCAGGUCCGACGAGAGACCUUCGGGUCUCUAGUGGCGAACGGGUGAGUAACUCGUAGGGAACCUCCCUGCGCACCGGGAAUACGCUCUGGAAACGGAGAACAAAUCCCGAUGUACAGGAAGGAGGCAUCUUCUUUCUGUGAAACAUCCUCUAGGGGAUGGGGCGCGGAUGGACCUGCGGUGCAUUAGCUAGUUGGUAAGGUAACGGCUUACCAAGGCAAUGAUGCAUAGCCGAGUUGAGAGACUGAUCGGCCACAUUGGGACUGAGACACGGCCCAAACUCCUACGGGAGGCAGCAGUAGGGAAUCUUCCACAAUGGACGAAAGUCUGAUGGAGCAACGCCGCGUGAGUGAAGAAGGGUUUCGGCUCGUAAAGCUCUGUUGGUAGUGAAGAAAGAUAGAGGUAGUAACUGGCCUUUAUUUGACGGUAAUUACUUAGAAAGUCACGGCUAACUACGUGCCAGCAGCCGCGGUAAUACGUAGGUGGCAAGCGUUGUCCGGAUUUAUUGGGCGUAAAGCGAGUGCAGGCGGUUCAAUAAGUCUGAUGUGAAAGCCUUCGGCUCAACCGGAGAAUUGCAUCAGAAACUGUUGAACUUGAGUGCAGAAGAGGAGAGUGGAACUCCAUGUGUAGCGGUGGAAUGCGUAGAUAUAUGGAAGAACACCAGUGGCGAAGGCGGCUCUCUGGUCUGCAACUGACGCUGAGGCUCGAAAGCAUGGGUAGCGAACAGGAUUAGAUACCCU
rnacentral:rRNA from 1 species